rnacentral:rRNA from 1 species
AAGGUAGCAUAAUCACUUGUUUUUUAAUUGGGGGCUGGAAUGAAUGGUUUAACAUAAAAUAUUUUCUUUUUUAAAAAUAAAAAAUUUGUAUUUCGGGUGAAAAUACUCGGUUGGACUUAAGGGACGAUAAGACCCUAAAAGCUUUAUUUUAAACUUAUAGUUCAUCUAUAUUAUGUUUAUAAGUCACUUGGGGGUGAGUUUAGCUGGGGUAGUUAUUUUAGGGGCACUAAGAUGUUGUUACACGCCUAUUGGCGGAGGUCUGGUCCUGUUAAUAGGGAAAGUCAGGUUUAGUUACUUUAGGGAUAACAGCGCAAUAUUUUUGGGGAGACCAUAUUUAUAGAGAAGGUUGCGACCUCGAUGUUGAAUUAGAAGUUUUCUGUGGGGUAGAAUAUACAGGGGAGGGUUUGUUCAACCCUUAAAUUUUUACGUGAUCU